rnacentral:rRNA from 1 species
GCCCCCGUAGCUAUCGGAGGUGUGACCUGCCCAAUGAUUUUAAACUUAGAAUAACCUUCUAAUAAAAAAUUUAAAGGACGCGGUAUCUUGACCGUGAUAAUGUAGCAUAAUCACUCGCCAUUUAAUUGAUGGAUUGUAUGAAUGGUUCGACGAAUAUUCCACUGUCUUUGCAAGAAACCUCUUUAAAUUGAAAUAACAGUUAAGAUGCUGUUUAAGUUUAUAAGACGAAAAGACCCUAUAGAGCUUAACCAUAAUCUUCUUCAACAUAAAAAAGUAUUAAAUACCAGGGAGAUUGGUGGUUUGGUUGGGGCGACCGCCUUUUAUAUAAAACAAAGGCAAGCAAAAUUAAUCCUAAAUUUAUUGUAAAGACCACAAUCUUAACAAUUACUAACGUAGGCGAUAAUGACCCGUUGCAUAGUUAUAACACAAGCAACGAUCAAUGAAUAAAAGCUACCUUAGGGAUAACAGGGUAAUCUUCUCCUAGAGAUCUUAUCGAAGAGAUGGUUUGCCACCUCUAUGUUGAAUUAAGGUAUCCUCUUAAUGCAGAAGUUAAGAAAGGUAGGUCUGUUCGACCUUUAAAACCUU